AAAAAACGAAGUUAACUUUCGUAAAGAACGGGUUAUCUAAAACUCAGAGAAACUUACUAGGUAUAAAUGUCAGUGACCCACAAAAUAUUCCCUAGGAUUUGUGUGUGCCAACGACUGUUCAGGCUCUGCAAAUGGUUCUUACUCAGUUUACAUUCUAGGAAGACCUCGAGGCCAGUAAACCACUCGGGAAAGAGCUCCAGAAGUGUAGAGAGUACCUAGGUAUGGUGGUUACAGGACUGUCAACUCCUUGGAACACUGAAGAGGAGGAGGCCAUGUUCCAGGCCUACCUGAGUCACAGAGUGACUACAAGGCCAACAUGAACAACUUAGCAAUGCUGUCCUCAACCGCAAAGAAAGGUUGGUGCCGUGGAGUCUAGAAAAUAUUGAGCAUCCACUAUGUGGGAAAAGAUGGCUUUUUGGAUUCUGCAGGCACCAUAUUAUAGGAUGGACGCUGUGGUUACAGUCGAGGAAACAUGGAGAGUUUGGUUUGCUCAGGGCCACACAACCGAGAAGGCUGGACCUGCUCUAGAACCCUUAUCUUUAUCUGACUCCGUCACUGAGAUGAGGCGAUUAGCUCACUCUCCAGAGUCAGAAAGCAGCUCCACAACCACAGUGAAUUGUGCAGGCAAUCACCACUGCCUCUUAGCUGGUCUGCAGAGAAAAGGGCGAGAAAAGGUCGGUCUGUUUAUUAGAUUUUCACCUUUGUUGAGCACAAAGAAUGUAAGAGCGAUGCCAGGAAACCAAAGCAAUCUCACCUUUAUUGGAGAGUAUACGUAUUCCACUCAAGUUAGAACCCUAGCAGUUGGAAUUUAUGACAGGCUGCAUUCCCUUGUCUCUGACCUCUGGUUUCUGUUAGGAAUCCCCGUUUCUGGAAUGUGCUAAAGGUUACUGCAAAAGUGGGCUCUUUGCCUUGUCUCUGUGGACAGGGGCUGUCACCUCCUGAUAAUUCAAAAAGAAGUGUGGUUUCGGGGCAGCUGAAGACCAAAAAAGGAACAGGGAAAGCAAUUCUCUGCUGAGAGAAUGUGGUCUCUAAAACUGCAGCUGACCUAUCAACUCUUACCCCAGGAGAUGAAUCACCUGGUACAGAGAAUUGCUUUCAUUUUAACCAUGGCACUCCUGAUUAAGGUGACCGGGGUAAUUAAAAAUAAAAGCAAAAGCCACAUGAGAAGUCUCUUGGCAGUUACUGACAGUAGACAAGGGGACAGGCCUGGUGACCCAGUCAUACCCGUGACCUCACAUGCUGCUAGACUGGACUUUCCAGCCUCCCUUCCCCUCCCUAAGGGGCUUGUGUGAGAGAGGUGGCCUUUUCACAUAGGAGCUUGAGCUCUUCAGAGAGCAUUUAGCUCAGAGCUUCCACUCAAUGAGCAUCCAGAUGUGUGCUGUGUGUGGAACUGACUUGAGAUGUUUUUGCCCCGGGAAACAUUGGUAUUCCUGGGCCUAGGCUUAAUGGGUGACCUUUUGACUUCAGGAAGAGGGGGUGAACCCUUUUGUAAUAUCUCUUGAGUCAUGACUCAUUUUCCACAUCUGGAUGAGAGGUGAACCUCCUCCCACCCACUGAAUUUUAGAUGGCCUGUCAAACAGGAUACCUGUCUCCUGCUCUGUGCUUUUUAAAUAUGGCUUAAACAUUUUUAUUAUUUUGAGUAUGGGUGUCUUGCCUUCAUGAAUAGGUCUGUGUGUGCCUGGUGCCAGAAGAGGAGGAGAUUCCCUGGAACUGGGGUUACAGAGGCUUGUGAGUAGCCAUGGGGGUGCUCCUAACCAUCGAACCAGCUCCCCAGUCCUCAUGCCCCACUGCACCUUUAAAGCUGGGGAUGUCCUGGGGGGAAUUUUCCCCUUGCCUUAAACUCUCAGAGUACACCUGUAGCUGACCUGGUAGGAAUUCACGUGAGCUUGUGUUAGCCGUCAGACGGCCUCCAAGAAAUUAGAAUUUUCCUGGGUCUCUCAUGUUGCGAAAAGAAGGCUGAAAUUUGGUCCAACCAGAGUAGGAAACUGAGCUCUCACAGAGUUCUGGGAACUUGUCAGACCGCUGUUGAGGAGAGACUGGGAUUGAGACAGCCAUGGGUGGGUGAUAGGCGGGAUCAUACCUGAGCUGUGACUGGUUAGUCAAGCGUACCACUGGUCCUUUCUCUAAAUCUCCUGUCAGGAGCCCAAGACGAACUUGUAGGUGUGGGGCACUGGGUCUCUAAAGUGGCGACGUUGAAUACAUUUCCGUUUUCUACUUUUCACUAUUUGUUUAUUCGUUUUUAAAUUGGUUCAUUGAGGACACGUGGCCAAGAGUCUGGCUUGUUAGCAAUGCCAGCGCCCAGGCUUUGACACUGAUGACUCUGCUAAGAAAUCUUAUUUAAAAACAACAAACAAAACAAAACCCAACAACAAGAACCCAGCGCUUUUGUGGGUGAGCCCCCCAUCUUGCCUUGACUGUUGAACACCAUGAGAACGGCUCCAUCAGGCAGACAAGUGGGCCCUUAUAUCUGCAGCUCAAAAAUGGUGUGGUUUUGCAAACCCUGUGACUUCUGCAGUUAGGCAAAUAGUUUGCAUUUGCAGAGCAGAGCCUGGGAGGUCUUUCCUGUUUGGGUCUAGAAAUGACUGGGGUGUGCCUUGGAGCUUGAAAACUUCUGAUCGGGGAAAGUUCAUGGGAAAUUUGGCGAUGACUAUGAGGCCUUCUGGUCACAAUGCUGGCUGUAUAAAGUACCUCCGUUUCUGAGGGUAAUUUCGACACGCUCAAAAUAAAACCUUCAAUGCCUCUUGAACAAUCAAUGCGGACUUACUUGUUUGAAAUGAACAGAAUAUUUUUUGUCUGUUUGCUUGCUGAGUUUGCUAGACUCUAGUUGAGCAACACAGGCUGCCCUGGACUUGGCAAUCUUCCUCCCUGUGCCUCAAGGAUUUGGGAUUACAGGUGUGGGUACUGUAGGUGGUGCAAUUCUGAAGUGUUGCAGUGCUGGGGGGUAAGAUUUCCACAAUAGGAGGGCUGCAGCUUUGAGGGGAAAGAUAUCCUGGCAGCUGGAAGCCAAAAAGACACACCAUACAACAAACCUCACAGAAGAGAUUUAUUGGGAAAGACACAAGAAGGUGACUGCCUCUACGGGAGAAGCUACAGAGAACUGAGUGGGAGGCAGGAUUUCUUGGGGGGCAGAGUUUUCCAGGGUGGGGAUUGUUGGGAUUUCAAGUUCAGGGUCUGGUGGGUCUUUGAGCUCAGGAACUGGUGGGUUUCUGAGUUCAGGGAUUGGUAGGUUUGUGAGCUCAGGGAAUGGUGAGUUUUUACAUCUGGAGGUGAGUUCAGAUCUUUUACCCUACGGGUUUCCAGUCUGGCUCUCUUUGCAUUGUUUCAUCCCCAUACGUUUGUCUAGUGCUGUUCCGAGGACUUCCAUAUUUUAAUUCUUUGAUUCCUCAUACUGGUCUUUAUAAGUUAGAGGUUUAUGAUGAGGCACAGAGAGGCCAGUUGGAGAGGAUUCCUAUUGGUUCCCAGUAGCCACUUCUCCUGGAGUUGACCCCGUGUAAUCUUUUCCCCUUUAGUUAGGACAGACUUUGCUUUAAAUAACUAGAGUAGCAAUAAAAUGGCUAUUACAAAAAAAAGACUGAUUUCUUGUCGUCUGUCCUUGUCUCUCAAAGCCAGCCUGACAGCUGUUUCGAAAUACUAUAAAUUAGGUGACACAAACCUAAAAAGCAUUUCUUUCUCACAGUUGUGUAGGACAGGAAGUUCAAGAUCAAGGCCUGUAGGUUAAGGUUCAGUGAGGUUUGACAGUUUCCCCGACCUUUACACUGUACCAUCAGCUACCAUCUUGUACAUAACUACUCAAAGAAUCUCAGGGCCAGGAACCGAAGUAUCUGAUCAUCAGUCAGUGAGCAGCCCUGCCGACAGUGAUUGAGUCUGGAAGCACCAGCCAGUGAGCACCCCUGCCGACAAUGGCUGAGUCUGGGAGCACCAGCCACUGAGCACCCCUGCCGACAGUGAGUGAGUCUGGGAGCACCAGCCAGUGAGCAGCCCUGCCAACAGUGAGUGACUCUGGGAGUAGAUUCUUAAGCUGAGCUUUGCGGUUACCAUAGUUCUAGCUGACAAUUGAUAGCAACUGUGAGAUCAGGAGCCAAGAGCCCCCCUGAACUGAACCUCAGAGAACAGGGGUAAGCCUACUUACUGUUUUCAACCACUGUCCCCAGAUAAGUUGUUACAUAGAAGUGUGUAACUAAUAUAUCAAAUUCACAGAAUGUGUGUAUAAAAAUAAAUACAAAUUCACAGAAUGUGUGUGUAAAAAUAAAUACAAAUUGUAAAACUCCUAGUUUGUCCCCAUAGUGAUUUUUUUAUUAUGUGUGUAAUUAUGUAAGAGUAAAUCUAUGAUUACAAUUUGAUGAAUAUUGAAUAUAGUUACAAAAAAGAAAUUGAUUUCCAGCAACAAUAGAAUUCUUACUCUUAUUAAAAAAUCAUAUUUAGAUAUUUAUUUUUCUUUUAGGUGUGUGAAUAAUUUAAAUUAUGUAUACUACUUGUGUGUUUACUGCAUGGAGAGUCUUGAAGGACAUCGAGUUUCUUGGAACUGGAGUUAGGUUGUUAUUAGACACCACGUGGAUGCUAGGAAUUGAACCCAGGUCCUCUGCAAGAGCAACAAAUACUCAUAAGUAUGGAGCCAACUCUCUAGCCCCUAAAAUUCAUGUUUUUAAAAUGGUAAAUACGGUGGAAGAUGUGAUUAAAUGCAGUCAUCCUUUAGAUUGGAAACAGUUCCAAUGUCUCUCAAUAGAAAAAUAAACUAUAGAAAGCCAAAGAAAGUCAUCCUACAAAAUCCUGUACGAUUUGAAAAAGGUUUUCAAAACUGGUUGUCACUUGACGAUAAAGCCCCAAACCCCAAAUAAUUCCAGUAUGUAAAACAGUCACACAAAACCAAGCUACUCUAACACAUGGAAAGACCUGGAAGAUGGUGCAGGACAGCUGCACAGAGGGUAAAUAAACACAGGGCUCCUUUUGCUUUCUCAUUCAUUGGUUUGUUUUUUCUCUUUUUCUUUUUAUGCAAUGAGAAUUUAUGCAUGCGUUUUUUGUGCUCCAAUAAAAAG